rnacentral:rRNA from 1 species
UACGGAGGGAGCUAGCGUUGUUCGGAAAUACUGGGCGUAAAGCGCACGUGGGCGGCGCAGCAAGUCAGGGGUGAAAUCCCGGGGCUCAACCCCGGAACUGCCCUUGAAACUGCAGUGCUAGAAUCUUGGAGAGGCGAGUGGAAUUCCGAGUGUAGAGGUGAAAUUCGUAGAUAUUCGGAAGAACACCAGUGGCGAAGGCGACUCGCUGGACAAGUAUUGACGCUGAGGUGCGAAAGCGUGGGGAGCAAACAGG